GAAAGCUCCAGGGACGAUCUCUUUAUCGUCAUGAGUUCUCCGAAACUUAUCUUUCAUAUGUAAACAAAAACUCCGUCAAGAGAGGGGCCUAGUGUGUCACCGUGGGGUUGAUAACUUCCUGUUGGGAAAGUAAGAUAAGAUAACCUGGACUCUGAUUGGAGAAAGAUCGUUUUAUGGAAGGAUUAAAUAGGCACAAUCACGCGAACGCCAUAACGUUUCCAUUUGUUACUGACUGCGUUGGUUUUACAAGAGAAUACGGAGGCGAAAACCUAUCAUCGAGAUGAAGCGGAAUAGCAUACGGAUGCUUUACAUUCUCCUUGUAUUGAUGCUCGUAGUUGUGACCGACGUUGCUGGUCGUCGGUAUCGAGUCAGAGUAGGUUCCCGCUACUCCGGCAGCAGUUCUGGAGCGGAGUCAUCAGGCAGCUUAACUAUUGGAAAACUCUUGGGGAUUGUCAGCGGAGUCAUCGUGAUGGGGUUUUGUAUUCGUUGCUUGCCACUUGGGGUGCAAACACGGCACUUGUAAACAAGAUAUUAUGCGCAUAACGUUACUGAUACGACGUUGCCAGACUAGAUGUGGGUUUGUGAUUGAUUUUCAAAAUCAGAACACAGAUUGUUUUUCUCUUGAUUUGAUAUGGUGUUCUAGCCUUAAUUCAACGACUACGAAAGCAGGCACUAUUUCUUAAAAUUUCUUUCUGUUUGUUUGAAAUUCAUGAAAUAGUAAUAACACAAAAGGUGAUACAUGUACAAACGAAUGUGAUUCACAAUAAAAGCGUGUUGAUUUAGUACUACCUAUCGUAUAGAUCACUGCUUCAUUUAUGCUUGGAAAACAUCGUGUAAUUGAGAAAAAUAUGUUUAUUAUUUCCAAAGUUAAAUGUUUGUUUAAAUUUAUGAUAUCUUACCAUGACUAAAUUGACUGUCAUAAUACGUCACAAUACCACAGUGACGUCAUACAUCUGUCAGUGGUUGCAUGUUGAGCUGGCGACUAAUCUAACAGAUGAAGUGUUUCCGGAUUUGAAUCUCCCAACCCCGCUAAUUCAUAUUCACGAUUUGAAAUCAUAUUUGACAUUUUUCUGUGUUUGCGCUAAAAUUUGACUACUCUAUAAGUAGGUUUACAGUAGCUUGUCGUAUUUAAAGUAUAAACUGGCAUUACAUGUACGUUGCAAUUUGACUUAAAAGAAGACAAAUACUCUUAAUGAGUUUUCAAAUUACGUCUCGUUAAAUCUCUCUAAGGUGAUACACAAACAAAUGUAACACAUAUCUGGACAAGUUUGUAACAUUAUAUACGUGAUUCGUAAUGUUACACAUAUCAUCUGUAUAUUGUCACUUUGAAUAUUAGCAAAUCUCUGAAUCUAUGAAUAAAUGAGUAUUUUUCCUGCA